rnacentral:rRNA from 1 species
UACGUAGGGUGCGAGCGUUAAUCGGAAUUACUGGGCGUAAAGCGUGCGCAGGCGGUUCGCCAAGUCAGGUGUGAAAUCCCCGGGCUUAACCUGGGAAUUGCGCUUGAAACUAGCGGGCUUGAGUGUGGCAGAGGGGGGUGGAAUUCCACGUGUAGCAGUGAAAUGCGUAGAGAUGUGGAGGAACACUGAUGGCGAAGGCAGCCCCCUGGGUCAACACUGACGCUCAUGCACGAAAGCGUGGGGAGCAAACAGG